rnacentral:rRNA from 1 species
AACGAACGCUGGCGGCAUGCCUAACACAUGCAAGUCGAACGAGACCUUCGGGUCUAGUGGCGCACGGGUGCGUAACGCGUGGGAACCUGCCCUUAGGUUCGGAAUAACUCCCCGAAAGGGGUGCUAAUACCGGAUAAUGUCUUCGGACCAAAGAUUUAUCGCCUUUGGAUGGGCCCGCGUUGGAUUAGCUAGUUGGUAGGGUAAAAGCCUACCAAGGCGACGAUCCAUAGCUGGUCUGAGAGGAUGAUCAGCCACACUGGGACUGAGACACGGCCCAGACUCCUACGGAAGGCGGCGGUGGGAAUAUUGGACAAUGGGCGAAAGCCUGAUCCAGCAAUGCCGCGUGAGUGAUGAAGGCCUUAGGGUUGUAAAGCUCUUUUACCCGGGAUGAUAAUGACAGUACCGGGAGAAUAAGCGCCGGCUAACUCCGUG